UCAACUGAAUAUUAUAAAGGUUCUUUACUUAAGUAAAGUGAAAAGGGAAGUCGGUGUAAUUCCGAUGCGGUCCCGCCACUGUAAGUGUGAGUUUUUUCAAAUAAUGCCACUGAAGAUUUCGGGAAGGCUUGAAAAACGCAAUAAGCACGAGCCAGGAGACCUGCCUUUAUAGUAUAGACAUG
rnacentral:ncRNA from 2 species